GCCAGCGUGGCAUAGUGGUUUGAGUCUUAGACUACAACUCUGGAGAUCAGGGUUCAAUUCCUGGCUUGGCG